AGAAACCGCUAGUCAUUUUCAAAAGUUGACCACUAAUCAAAUUCCAAAAUUUUUGGAAAAAGAUUAGAGGGAAUCCAUCAUGACUAGGGACCUUAUCACCCAGUAAUGCAAAUACCACAAUUUUAAGUUUUUCCAUACUAUUGUCCCUAUCCAACAUAGUAGACCGAUUGGAAGGAAACACUUUGAAACCUACCCCACUUAGAUUAGGCAAAACAUUAACUUCUUAGGAGAAUGCUUUUUGGAAGUGACUAAUAAUAGCUUGGGACAUACCUACAUGUCGUCAUGCUCCACACCCUGAAUAGUAAGACCAGAAACAUCAUUCUUGCGUUGCCUGGCAUUAGCAGUAGCAUGAAAGAAUUUGGUGUUCAAAUCACCUUCUUUUAUCCAUUUGACCCUAGAUUUUUUUUUCCAAUACACCUCUUCCACUUUUCUGAGAUUCUGAAGCUCAUUAACUUUUACACUUAUAGCCAAAGCCAUUUCCUCAUACCACAUUUCAGUCUGUUGCAUGGUGUCAUCAAUCUCCUCUAUGCACCUCAGCACUUCAUCAAUCUUUCUUUUAACAGAGAAUCCCUUAUCUUUUUUCCUAACCAGGAGCUUAUGCUUAAUAUUCCAUAGCUUUUUAUGUAAUUGAAAAUUUAAAGAGCCAAGGGAAAUCAAAUUAACCCAUGUACUUCUAAUAAUCUCAAUAACUUCAUUUUCCUGCAGCCAGCCAAUCUUUAGCCUAAAAGGUUUAAGACCCCCCAACCAAACUUUAGAAGACAACAGCAAAGGGGUAUCGUCAGAAGAGAGUCUAGGGAGAGCUUUGACAGAAGCCAAGGGAAACAAAUCAGUCCACUUCCCAGAAACCAAGAGUAUGUCUUAAACAUAGACAAAUUUAAGACACUACCAUUAGUCCAAGUAAAAGUCGUAUCAGAAAUUGGAAGAUCAAGCAAAGCAUGGCUCUCAAUAAAUUGAUUAAAUAGUCGCAUAGAUGCAUUGAUCACCCCACCAUUAGAACUCACUUCAGACCAUCUAAUAAAGUUAAAAUCAUAACAUCAUUCAUAUCAGAAAUGAAAGAAACUUUUUGAUCGAAAGAAUGGGGACCAUAAACAUUUAGCAGACCCCACUGAAAGUUAGCCUCAGAGGCCCCAACAGAAUCCAGCCCCACGAAAUCUAAAGCUCCAGGACCCCACACUUCUUGAGCCCCAGAUAAAU
rnacentral:lncRNA from 1 species